GGGGGAUAUUGCACAAUGGAGGAAACUCUGAUGCAGCGACGCCGCGUGAGUGAAAAAGGCCUUCGGGUCGUAAAGCUCUGUCCUAGGGGAAGAUAAUGACGGUACCCUAGGAGGAAGCCCCGGCUAACUACGUGCCAGCAGCCGCGGUAAUACGUAGGGGGCGAGCGUUGUCCGGAAUUACUGGGCGUAAAGAGUUCGUAGGCGGUUUGAUAAGUCAGAUGUGAAAGGCGUAGGCUUAACCUAUGUAAGCAUAUGAAACUGUCAGACUUGAGGUAAGGAGAGGAAAGUGGAAUUCCUAGUGUAGCGGUGAAAUGCGUAGAUAUUAGGAGGAAUACCAGUGGCGAAGGCGACUUUCUGGACUUAAACUGACGCUGAGGAACGAAAGCGUGGGGAGCAAAC
rnacentral:rRNA from 1 species